rnacentral:rRNA from 1 species
GGUUAAGCGAAUAAGCGUACACGGUGGAUGCCUAGGCAGUCAGAGGCGAUGAAGGACGUGCUAAUCUGCGAUAAGCGCCGGUAAGGUGAUAUGAACCGUUAUAACCGGCGAUUUCCGAAUGGGGAAACCCAGUGCAAUUCGUUGCACUAUCAUUACCUGAAUACAUAGGGUAAUGAAGCGAACCGGGAGAACUGAAACAUCUAAGUACCCCGAGGAAAAGAAAUCAAACGAGAUUCCCCCAGUAGCGGCGAGCGAACGGGGAGCAGCCCAGGACCUUAAUCAGCAUCAGUG